rnacentral:rRNA from 1 species
UACGGAGGAUCCAAGCGUUAUCCGGAAUUACUGGGCGUAAAGGGCGCGUAGGCGGCCUUCUAAGUCGAACGUGAAAUCCCCGGGCUCAACCCGGGAACUGCGUCCGAUACUGGAAGGCUUGAAUUCGGGAGAGGGAUGCGGAAUUCCAGGUGUAGCGGUGAAAUGCGUAGAUAUCUGGAGGAACACCGGUGGCGAAGGCGGCAUCCUGGACCGGCAUUGACGCUGAGGCGCGAAAGCCAGGGGAGCAAACGGG